UCUGAUUUAACAUAUAUUUAAUGCUCAUCACACAUUAAACUCAUAACUCUUUUAGAGCAUUUGAUUU
rnacentral:tRNA from 1 species